rfam:Loxodonta africana unplaced genomic scaffold scaffold_11, whole genome shotgun sequence.
CUGCUUUCAGGAUAAACAGAAUAAAGAUGUCAUGUUC